rnacentral:snoRNA from 1 species
CGAACUAUGAUGAUGAUACAAAUCAUGAUGCUUGAAGAAUAAAAUCACUGUGAGCACAACGAUUUCUCAAUAGACUACAACGGUAUCUGAAUUUUUCUCG